GACGAACGCUGGCGGCGUGCUUAACACAUGCAAGUCGAACGGAAAGGCCCUGCUUUUGUGGGGUGCUCGAGUGGCGAACGGGUGAGUAACACGUGAGUAACCUGCCCUUGACUUUGGGAUAACUUCAGGAAACUGGGGCUAAUACCGGAUAGGAGCUCCUGCUGCAUGGUGGGGGUUGGAAAGUUUCGGCGGUUGGGGAUGGACUCGCGGCUUAUCAGCUUGUUGGUGGGGUAGUGGCUUACCAAGGCCUUGACGGGUAGCCGGCCUGAGAGGGUGACCGGCCACAUUGGGACUGAGAUACGGCCCAGACUCAUACGGGAGGCAGGAGUGAGGAAUGUUGCACAAUGGGCGGGAGCCUGAUUCAGCAACGCCUCGUGCGGGAUGACGGCCUUCGUGUUGUAAACCGCUUUCGCCUGUGACGAAGCGUGAGUGACGGUAAUGGGUAAAGAAGCACCGGCUAACUACGU
rnacentral:rRNA from 1 species